rnacentral:SRP_RNA from 2 species
GCCAGGUGUGGUGGUGCACACCUGUAAUCCCAGCUACUUGGGAGGCUGAGGCAUGAGAAUCGCUUGAACCCGGGAGGUAGAGGUUGCAGUGAGCCGAGAUCAUGCCACUGCACUCCAGCCUGGGUGACAGAGCGAGACUUUGUCUUAA